UUAUUCAAUCUUAUCAUGAUGUGCAGCUC
rnacentral:piRNA from 1 species